rnacentral:ncRNA from 1 species
ACUAUGGAGUAUGAUGAGCCUAGAGUAGUAUUUUAUAUGAAAUAGCAUACGAUGAAAUAGUAA